CAUUAGAUAACUAAAAGUUAGUACUGGUCUCUUAAAUCAUCUUAUAGUAAAUUAACGUCUACUUCUAAUGA
rnacentral:tRNA from 1 species